rnacentral:rRNA from 1 species
GAUGAACGCUAGCUACAGGCUUAACACAUGCAAGUCGAGGGGAAACGAUGAGUGAGCUUGCUCUCUUAGUCGUCGACCGGCGCACGGGUGAGUAACGCGUAUCCAACCUGCCUCUGACCAAGGGAUAACCCGUCGAAAGUCGGACUAAUACCUUAUGCAGUCGUCGGAAGUCAUCUGAUGACGACGAAAGAUUUCAUCGGUGAGAGAUGGGGAUGCGUCUGAUUAGCUUGUUGGCGGGGUAACGGCCCACCAAGGCGACGAUCAGUAGGGGUUCUGAGAGGAAGGUCCCCCACAUUGGAACUGAGACACGGUCCAAACUCCUACGGGAGGCAGCAGUGAGGAAUAUUGGUCAAUGGGCGUAAGCCUGAACCAGCCAAGUAGCGUGCAGGAUGACGGCCCUAUGGGUUGUAAACUGCUUUUAUGCGGGGAUAAAGUGAGGGACGUGUCCUUCAUUGCAGUUACCGCAUGAAUAAGGACCGGCUAAUUCCGUG